AAGGUAGCAUAAUCAUUAGUCUUUUAAUUGAAGGCUUGUAUGAAUGGCCGAACAAGAAGCAAACUGUCUCAAAAAAAUGAUUUGAAAUUGACUUUUAAGUGAAAAGGCUUAAAUAUUUUAAAGGGACGAUAAGACCCUAUAAAGCUUAAUAAUUUUGCACGCAAAUAAACAAAAUGUAAGUAUAAUGUUAUUUAGUGUUAAAUUAUUUCGUUGGGGCGACGAUAAUAUAAUUUGUAACUGUUUAAAAUUUUAAUACAAAGGUGUUUGUAUUUAAUGAUCCAUUAAUUGUGAUUAAAAAUUUAAGUUACUUUAGGGAUAACAGCGUUAUUUAUUUUGAGAGUUCAUAUCGACAAAAAAGUUUGCGACCUCGAUGUUGAAUUAAAAAUUCGUCAUGGCGUAGCCGUUGUGAUGGUAGGUCUGUUCGACCUUUAAAUUUUUACAUGAUUUGAGUUCAAACCGGCGUGAGCCAGAUUGUUUUCUAUCA
rnacentral:rRNA from 1 species